rnacentral:rRNA from 1 species
UACGGGGGGGGCAAGCGUUGUUCGGAAUUACUGGGCGUAAAGGGCUCGUAGGUGGCCAACUAAGUCAGACGUGAAAUCCCUCGGCUUAACCGGGGAACUGCGUCUGAUACUGGAUGGCUUGAGUUCGGGAGAGGGAUGCGGAAUUCCAGGUGUAGCGGUGGAAUGCGUAGAUAUCUGGAGGAACACCGGUGGCGAAGGCGGCAUCCUGGACCGACACUGACACUGAGGAGCGAAAGCCAGGGGAGCAAACGGG